rnacentral:misc_RNA from 1 species
CAAGGUGUUGAUUUGCAUUUGUGCCAUAGUUCAGGAGGAGGACAUAAAAUACGUAAAUAAUCGAUUGGAAUAGGCUAGUUUCCUAAAAAAUAAUAAUUAGUCCGUCUUGUAGAUUGUCCAAAAUUAAGCGAUACGUAUUUUUUCUUUUUUAAAUUGGAUCAGAACUUGUUAAGAUAUAGCGUGUUAAAGUUGAGUGUGACGUCACAAAGUGCUACAAUUUUCAGGACACUGUGACGUAAAAGGCCCCCACUCCUAAUUUUUGAAGCGUAUUAUCUUUGUCAUUUUAUGUUUAAUUAAAAAAAGAAAAAAUACGUAUCCAAUAUUUUUUGAUUAUCUAAAAAGCGGACUAAAUAUUAUUUCAUUAUUUCGACCCUGGACACUACCCUAUUACAGUAGACGGGAAAUAGCUAAUAUGCACUGCUUUUUUUGUCAUUGUAAUGUCGUGGUAUUCCAGAAGUAAUCCAAUUUUAUGAAUAAUCGCUGCGUAUGCUUUAUGUUUGCGUUUGUGUGAGGGCGCAGCACGGUUUUAAGGCCAGUAACAUACGCGCCAAGUUUAAAUAAGGCUAGAUGACAUUUACGGAAUUCCGAAAAAAAUGAAAGAAAAAAAAUUACGUACAAAUUUUUUGUUGAUUUGGGUACGCGUUUUAGAAAAAAACACAAAAAUGUUGACAUUUGACCUCGAAUAACUUUUGACGCACACAUGGGAUCGAUUGGGACUUUUAGUAUUUUAUUUAUAAUGAUUAAAUCUAGCUCUCAACCAAAAAUCAGCUUUCUGGGAAUUUUUGUUAUUUGACCACUACUUUUAUGUCUAUUUUGACCGGGCUAUAAGUAAAAUUAGGCGAAUCGGGCCCCUGGCUAUUCCUCACUAUGGCUAUUCGUACCUACAUACAAGUAACUUUAAAAGUAAGUUAAAAAUUCUUUCAGUGUUACAUAGGUAGCCCAUUUGUUUAUCGAGGAAGGCUGUUGGCUUUUUAUACGGGUUCGUGCAGAGGUCCCUACGGGAUGCAGGUGAAACUGUUGGUGAAACUAUAUUUUUUCUUAAAUGUCCUACGGGAUGACACCCAUCGUAAAAGUCCUGAUUGAUUACAAGAGCUAUCAUUAAAUUUGAUUCCAAUUACAUGACUGCUUUUGCGAAAACGUGAGCUUAAAAUAAACCUCGUAUUUAGAAUCCUUACGAAAGUUUAUAAUUUUCUUAGGAAAAUAAAAGUUGUAUCUGACCCAUUUGCAGAAAGUGACAGACAUUAAUCGAAAUAAGAGCAAAAUUUAGUUUAAAAUUAAACCAAAUAGUAUGACAUUUUCUAUGAAUAUAAAUAUUUAAUUAAUUUCAAUUUAGUCCAUUAGCCAAGUUCAUCGAAGCUGAAGUAGGUAGGUACAUGAUCCGUGGCGCUCUCGAUUGGUCGGUCGACGGCAAUGCUAAGGACGCUAGUGGUUCCAGCAGCGGCGUGGGUGUCGUGGCGGCAGGAGUACGUGCGCGCGCACGCGGGCUGGCGCGCGGGGCCGCGGCACCGCGCCGGCGCGCCGCUGCUGCACGCGGCGCUGGCGCCGGGCGGCGCGCUGCUGGCGCUGGCGGCCGCCGACGCGACGCUGCUGCUGUGGGCGGCGCGCGGCGGCGCCUGGGCCGAGGCCGGCCGCGCCGACCUGCGCGCGCGCGGCUGGGCGACCGUGGCGCGCUCGCAGUGGGCCACUGCGGGCCGCCUGCUGCUGACCGGCUCGCUCUCCCUCGUGUCCGACUGGGAGUUGUUGGUGCUUCACGUUGACGACGAUGGCGGUUGCGGGGCGGUGUACAGCCGCGUGCGGUGCAGCGCGGGCGCCGCGGGCUGCUGGGCUGACCCGGCGGGGGAAGCGUUUCUCUCGUUCGAGCUGCACCGCCUCGGAGCCGGUAUCUACUGCACUACAGUCUGGCUCAACGCUGCCACCCAGGAGACGGAAUCUGAAUAUGCAGGUGUAACUUCGCCCCUGCUAAGAAUCUUCAACGAAGAAGGCGCCCAUUUAACGCACGCGCUGGUGGUGCAGUCGGCCGAGCCGCUGUCGGUGGGCGAGCCUGCGGCCGAGCCCGCGGCCGAGCCCGCGGCCGAGGCGGCCGGGCGCGCCGCCUACCUGCGCGCCAUCGCGCCGCGCGCGGCGGACGAGGCGCGGGCGCGCGUGCUGGUGGCGGGCGCCGGGUGCCGGCUGGGCGCGUGGCCGGUGCGCGCGCCGCGGCCGCCGCCGCUGCAGGCGAGCGCGGGUGGCGGGCUGGCGGAGCGCGUGCGGCGGCAGCGCGAGCGCCGCGCCGCGCCGGAGCCGGACGCGCCGGAGCCGGACGAGGCGGCCGUGCGCGCCGGCUGCACGCCGCCCGCGCGCCUGGCGCGCCUGCACGCGCCGCUCGUCGGACUCGCCUUGCAAGAGCGCGGGCGGUGUAUGUGGGCGGUGAGCAGCGACGGCAGCGCGACGUGCGUGUCCGUGCCCGCGCUGCAGCUGCUGACGCGCGUGCCGGGCCGCGCCGGCGCCGGCGACCUCCACUACGUGCAGCCCGCCGCCGCCGCCGGCCUCGUGGCGUGGCCGGCGGGCGGGCGCGCGGGCCGCGUGCACUGGGUGGCGGCGGCGGCGUGCGCGGGCGGCGCGCUGGCGCACGGCGCGGCGGCCGUGUGCUGCGUGCUGCCGCGCGACGGCCUGCUGCUGGUGCUGGCCGGCGACGAGCUCUACGAGUGGCGCAGCCGCGCGACGCCGCAGCUGGACGCGCGCGGGUGCUAGCUGCGUCACCGCUGCUCGUCGCCGCCGCUCGACAGACAGCUUCACUCACCGCAUUCAAAUGGCAGCAUUACUUGCUUUCAUUGGGUAACGAGGGGGCCGCCAUCACAUUCGGCAGUGCGCCGUCACACACACACGACAUGGCUCUGCGAGUCCCGCUCGCGCGCGUGCUGCGGGCCGCCGCCGGCUCGUGCGGCGCCGCGCCGCCGCCGCGCUGCCCGCCG